rnacentral:lncRNA from 1 species
UGGAUCACUUCCCAGCAGAGCACUAGGUUGUUAAGUGAAAAACAGGAUUACUUGUGAGAAAAAUCAGAAUCCUGGAGCAGCUGUAGCUAGAAAUGGGAUUAAACAAAAUGCCUUAAUGCUGAAACAUGAAAUCAGAAGCUGAGGAUAAAUGCAGACAGUUGAUGAGAAGAGCCUAUGGCCAUGUGGACUCUUUGCAGACUGUCCUGUGUGGGAAAAUGGGCAGCUGAACACCAGUAUAGCCAGCUCAUAUUUUUGAGUUGACUAAGAGACUUAUUAGUG